CGAGGGCCACUUUAUGGUAUAUUAUAAUCAAGCGAACGUAUCGGGUGGCCAUAUUUGCGGCAAAUCUUUACACCUUUACGUGAUAUCAGUUUACAUUUGAGUGCUAAGUGAAAGUGAUGAUCGUAUCAAUCAGUUAAGAUAAGACAAGAUUAUUGCUGAAUUAAUUACUCUAAUCAUUAACUAGUUACCGAUACGGUGUUAUGUUAUCAUAAUAAACACGAUGGUAUUAUGAUAAGCCAUCAGGCGGAGUGACAGUGGUAAAUUUGUGAACAAAAAACGCUCUUAGUGACAUCAAAGAAAUAUCAAAGAAAGCCGCGUCUACAACAAUGCUGAAUCCGGUAUUCCCGUAUCAUCUUGCAGGACUCGGACUCAUGUCCAGUUUUCCAUUGGAAGGACAAGGUCGUGUGAAUCAGCUAGGUGGGGUAUUUAUCAAUGGCCGACCACUUCCUAACCACAUCCGGCUUAAGAUAGUAGAGCUGGCCGCUCAGGGAGUACGUCCUUGCGUUAUCAGCCGACAAUUGAGGGUUUCACAUGGCUGUGUGUCUAAAAUACUGCAAAGAUAUCAAGAGACAGGUAGUAUCCGCCCCGGUGUUAUAGGUGGUUCGAAACCAAGAGUUGCCACACCAGAAGUUGAAAGGAAGAUUGAAAAUUACAAAAGAGACAACCCGGGAAUAUUUAGUUGGGAAAUUCGUGACAGACUGUUAAAGGAUGGACUCUGUGACCGUAGUACUGUACCUAGUGUUAGUUCCAUAAGUCGUGUAUUAAGGGCAAAGUUCAAUAUCAAGGGUUCUGAUGGAGAUUCGAGUGAAGGUCAUGAGAGUGACACUGAAAGGUCAGAGGUCAGAGGUAACCAUGACAUAGAUGGUAUCCUAGGUCAUGAUAAAGUCGAAGACAAAAGCGAUGGUGAUGAUGAGUUGUCUGAUUGUGAUUCUGAACCCGGAUUACAAUUAAAGCGCAAACAAAGACGGAGCCGAACUACUUUCACCGCAGAACAAUUAGAAGAACUGGAACGCGCAUUCGAACGCACACAUUAUCCGGAUAUUUAUACUCGUGAAGAGCUAGCUCAAAGGACAAAGUUGACAGAAGCUCGUGUACAGGUCUGGUUUAGUAACCGGAGAGCUAGGUGGCGUAAACAAAUGGGAAGUAAUCAGAUCUCGGCCCUUAACAGUCUGCUACAAGUUCCACAAGGCGUACCUUCCAACCCAUACAUGUUACAUGACACACCAGGCUACACGUUUCCCUGCCGCACAAGACGCAAUAUGGCAUCGAAGUUCUAUGUCAUCUGGGAUACACCAUUCUGUACCAGCAUCAAGUCUUAAACAAGAGCACAGUCAUGUACCUUAUCAUGGAAUCAUGGACAACUAUUUGAAUCAUGCUAGCCAGAUGCACAACCUUGCGAGUUUACAGUCAAGUCUACAGUCAAGUAUUCAUUCUAAUUUACCAACCAAUGACAGUUUCCCAUCACAUACAGCGUGGGCAAAUUCCAAUACACAGAACCCCGCGCAAGCACUUACCGGAUAUCCGGGCACCAAUCACGUGACACAUCUAUCUGACGUCACUAAAAGUAGCAUCCAUUACAAUCCCCAUAUUUCUGCAGUUUCCAGUAUGGAGCGUUACGCAGCAGACGAAAGUUUGGCAGCAUUAAGAAUGAAAUCACGUGAACAUGCGGUUGCUCUCGGACUUAUGCAUUCAUCUGACAGUGGGAGGGUGUCGGCUGGAUUUUAAAAGCUUUCUGGCGAUUAUUUCAUAUUGUUAUGACAGAAAUCGUCAAAGCAUAUAAUUAUUGUCCUGCAACCAUACCAGAAGAAAUACCAAUGUGCUUACAACCUCGGUGAAAUUAAUUGAACAGUGAAUUCAAACUGCACUAAGAUAAAGUAAAAUGUUGAAGUAGAAAUUAAGACGAAAUAAAACAAUAUAAAAAUGGACACAAACGUUUUCUUAUAACAUACUAUAUACAGUGUAUCAUGAUCAACGAAUGAGAUUUUUGUGUAAUUUCUAUAUACAUGUUUAGAGGAAUGUUACUAUAAAUAGAAAUCUUUUAUGCAUUCAAGUGCCUUAUUAGACAUACAGUUAGCGAUAGUGUAUAUAUUUGUAUAUAAGAUAGACUAUGUAGAUAAUUGUAGACCAAUGAUUUAAGAUGAUAUAGUUUUUUCCACCAUAUAAACCGGUACAAUCACAUUGACAACGGUUAAUUUUGUACAUUGCAUGGCAUUAACAUUUUUUUUAUCUCACAACAUAUUGUAUUGCUCUUUUAAUUAUAAAUAUUUCCAGUUAUUUUGAUAAUUAAGAAAAAUGUCAGAAUUUCUAAAAAAUAGUUUAAAAACUUAAUCUCAGGAAAAUAAUGUAUAAAAGUGACCAACUUUAAUCAUUUCUUACAAAACAUUCAACAAAACAUGAAUGGUAUACGCAUACAAAGAAACCGUUAUAAACGUUUUACUAGUCAUGGGUUGUCGUGAUAUUUUCUUUCGAGAUUAUUUUAAGACUAAGAGUAAAAAAAAAAUAAAAUAAGGAAAUAAAAUAACAGACACAAAUGAAACAACAACAUCGACGCCAGCGACAAAAACAACGACAAGAAGAACAACAACAAUGUAUAUCAAAUAAUCUUUAGAAUAAGUCUUUUUAAAAUUACAUAGAUGUUAUUUUUCAGCUGAUGUUUUGCUAUAUAUUGUGGUGAAAUUAUACUUUUACAAGUAAUAAGCUAGCCUUGCCUUGCCAAAAUCAUGUAUAUAAUUAUACAUAUAUAUUAACUUACAGUAUUUACUAGUGACGAGUGACUGUGGGGCAUGUAGAAAUUAUUCUUGUAGUGCAUUUUUGUGUAUUAUAAUGAGGAUAAAAGUCGGUUAUUUGUACAGUGCUUUAUUGCUAUACAACUAAAUUAAGUUAAUGUAUGCAAGAUGUCUGGUCACUUCUGUCUUUUUAUAGUUUGAUUAAAUUCCACAAUAUUUUGUUUGCAUAACUCACUGUGUACUUAGCCCUUGAUUUAUACACAAAUUUCAAUUACAUUAAAAUGCAGUCUAAUGACCAUUGUAUAAUAAAAAGUAGUUUUUAUUUUACUGCACAUAUAUGUUUAGACAAGUUUUAGGUCAGACAUUACUAUAGAUAUUCCAUUACACUUACAGAAUGCUGUUUUAUUGUAGUUUAUAGAUGUAUGUCGUUGACCUGACAUCACAUCAUAAUAUAAAAAAAUCAAGACUUACAUUGCGUAAUAAUGUAAAAAAUUAAGACUUGAAUUACAUACACAUUUCACAAAAUUAACUUCCCUUUCAGCACGAGCCCCUAUUCUUAAUGUUUUUUCUCUUCACUUAAAAUAACCAAGUCAGAAAUGUAAAUAUCAGACUAUAAUACAAUUUUACAAACAUUAAAUUCCUUUAUAGAAAUCAUUUAUUAAUUUUAAGAGUAUUCUCAAAUGUUUUAGAAAGCAGCGUACAGCAAACAACUGACACAAAUUGAAAUUUUUUUUUCACUGGGCUACAUUUUUUAUAAUCUCCUGUCCCCUAUCAGAAAGAACAUGUUAUUUUAGGCCUAACUGCUCGUUGGCAAGAAUGGUAUCUGUGCAAUGCCGUUAGUUUCCCUGUUUAUUCAUUGUUUCAUAACCUGACAUAUUGCAACAUUACAGCCGUCAUUAGUCUUUUAUGUGUUUAAUUUUUGUUUUUGUUUUGGUUAUUACGUCACUAAACAUAUUUUCGUUCAUCUUCAUUCUAUGUUCAUUAUGCAACAAAUAAAAUACAGA